rnacentral:lncRNA from 1 species
AACCAAAGGUACCCGUAGCCGAUAGCGCCGAUAGCUAUGCCGCGCCAAAGAAGACCCAACCGGAGACACCGGCGGCUGUGACAACUGAUAGCGUCGCCGCACCGAAGAAUGCUCAGCUAGACACACCGGCGGCGCCAAGCACUACACAACCAAAUACAGCGGUGGCGAGCACAACUGAUGCUUAUGCCGCGCCAAAGACUGCACAGCCAGAGACACCGGCAGCCGAAACAACCGAUGCAUAUGUUGCGCCGAAACCGAAGCCGUAUGUGUAAGUCCAACAGCUCACCCAGCUUCCAAGUGACCAACCAAAAUAAUUUCCCCCUCCUGUUCACUUCAGAAGGUUCUACGACCGGAAAGCGGUCCAAGCUCAUUUUUUAUAUCCCAAUUUUCAACUGUAAUUGCUUAUCCAAUGUAUGCAACUCCGUUUGCAGUAUUACUUUAUUCGUGUAAAGAGAACGCCCGUUAGCUAGGCAAAGAAACGGGUCUUCUAUCACUUUGUGUUCUAAAAAGGAAACUCAUAUACCAUGCAUAUGACACUGGAUUAUACAAAUUCAGGUUUCGUGAAUAUUUCGAAGAUUGUUUCAUAGAGGAUAUAUAGAAAAUGCAUCGCAUGUUCAGGUUUCGUGAAUAUUCCGAAGAUGGUUUCGAA